AUGGCCACCGCCACCUCACCGCUCCUCUCCCUCUCUUCCCUCUCGGCCUCCCUCCCCUCCCCUUCCCGGGCACCCGCCUCCCUCUCCCUGCGCGCCAUCGCCCCACAGGCCCGCCUGUCGACCUCCUACGCCGCCUUCCCCAUCGGUGGGUUCGGAGCCUCGGCGUCGACGGGGAGGCUGAGGAGGAGGGGGCUGCAGGUGGUGUGUGCCGCCGAGCCGCCCAAGACUGGAAGACAGCCGGACUCGGUCAAGAAGAGGGAGCGUCAGAAUGACAGACACCGCAUCCGCAACCAUGCUCGCAAGGCCGAGAUGCGCACCCGGAUGAAGAAGGUUUUCAGAGCCCUUGAAAAGCUUAGAAAGAAAGCUGAUGCCCAACCUGAAGAAAUCAUUGAAAUAGAGAAAAUGAUCUCCGAGGCAUACAAAGCCAUCGACAAGACAGUGAAGGUUGGUGCCAUGCACAGGAAUACUGGAGACCAUCGCAAGUCCAGGCUUGCAAGGAGGAAGAAGGCCAUUGAGAUAAUCCGUGGUUGGUAUGUUCCUAAUGCCGAACCUGCUGCAACUGCCUAG
rnacentral:rRNA from 1 species